rnacentral:rRNA from 1 species
GAAUCCGCYAAGGAGUGUGUAACAACUCACCUGCCGAAUGAAUUAGCCCUGAAAAUGGAUGGCGCUCAAGCGGGUAGCCGACACCACGCCGUUUGAAUUAAAUUUUAUUGAUCCAAAUGAGUAGGAGGGCGUGGCGGUUGUAUCGAAGCAUGUGUGCAAACACGUGUGGAACGGCCGCUAGUGCAGAUCUUGGUGGUAGUAGCAAAUAUUCAAGUGAGAUCCUUGAAGGGCGAAGCGGGGAAGGGUUCCACGCGAACAUUGAUUGGGCGUGGGUGAGUCGUUCCUAAGCCGAGUGGCAAUUGCUAAGUAAACGGCGAAAGGGAAGCAGGUUGAAAUUCCUGCACACGGAUGUGGAGGCGGUGACGCCAUUGUGAGGUGAUUACGUUGGCAGUGGCGCUGGGCAGAGUUGUCUUUUCUGUUUAACCAGCUUGUGUAUGCUGUGUGGAAUCCGCUUGUCGGGAGAAACACGCAUGUACGGGUAGAGCGCCGGGACUUCUCCGGCGUCCAGCUCGCCAUUGACAGCCCUUGAAACAUUACCUGCUGAGAUUUAUUCCUCGGAAUUUAUCAAGAAAAAUCCACGCCGUGGCGUACCGAUCACCGCAUCAGGUCCCCAAGGUGAACAGCCUCUGUCCAGUAUGAAAAAUGCAGGUAAGGGAAGUCGGCA